AUUGAACGCUGGCGGCAUGCCUUACACAUGCAAGUCGAACGGUAACGCGGGGCAACCUGGCGACGAGUGGCGAACGGGUGAGUAAUGCAUCGGAACGUGCCCGGUAGUGGGGGAUAGCCCGGCGAAAGCCGGAUUAAUACCGCAUACGACCUACGGGUGAAAGCGGGGGACCGUAAGGCCUCGCGCUAUUGGAGCGGCCGAUGUCAGAUUAGGUUGUUGGUGAGGUAAAAGCCUACCAAGCCGACGAUCUGUAGCUGGUCUGAGAGGACGACCAGCCACACUGGGACUGAGACACGGCCCAGACUCCUACGGGAGGCAGCAGUGGGGAAUUUUGGACAAUGGGGCAACCCUGAUCCAGCCAUGCCGCGUGCGGGAAGAAGGCCUUCGGGUUGUAAACCGCUUUUGUCAGGGAAGAAACGCCCUGGGCUAAUACCCCGGGGUAAUGACGGUACCUGAAGAAUAAGCACCGGCUAACUACGUGCCAGCAGCCGCCGUAACAC
rnacentral:rRNA from 1 species